GAUGACGUAGCAUGAGUUUCCUUACUAUCAUAUAAUAAUUAAUAGUUUGUCCAUUCUGGAGUGCCCAACGUACAAAGCAGGGCCAAUCCUUGACCUGGCAGUUAUUGGGCUGAGCUGUACUGCCUAUGUGGCUCGGCUCAUUUUGACUCCACUAUGGAGGUUGUUUUCUUCUUGGCCAGCUGCCAAGUCAAGCUGUCAUCUAUUCAAUAUUUGGUGGUUUGCAUAUUUUUCAGGAAUGGAGCUGAUCUUGCAUCAUUAGCCACAACAUCAAUUAUACCUGUUGAUUUGAAUGCUUUCAUUCUGAAGGUAAGAUACAGAAUAUCUCCCUUGAAUGUUGAUUAAUUACUUCACUUUUAUUCGUUAUGUGUGACAUCAGCUGUUGUAUCUUUGAUUCAGAUGGAACUUGACAUAACCUCUUUGGCACAUGUUAUUGGUGAUAAUAAAAUCGUUGCACGCUUUAUGGAAGCUUCUGAAGCUAGAAAGAAGGCCAUGAAUUCUAUUUUCUGGAACUCAGAGAGGGGACAGUGGCUCGAUUACUGGUUGAGUAAUUUUGAUGCAUCCAAGGUGGUCUCAUGUACUAAACUUUGAAAGCCCUCCUACUGAAGAACACUGAUAUUGAUUUUCUACCUUUUUCAUCUUCUUUACGAGAUUAUAGGACGCUUACACAUGGAAUGCCUCAAGUCAGAAUCAGAAAUUAUAUGCUUCAAAUUUUGUUCCUUUGUGGAUCCAGCUGUUCAAUUCAGGUUUCUAAUAUUCACUCGCUCGUGUAAUUUGCUAAGCACUAUCUUUCAUGAAUGUUGAAGCUUUAAGUGGACGUAAGUUAAGAUGGUGGUGUUGUCGGAAAUUCGACUAACGCAAUCAAAAGAACAAAUAAAAUAAGCAGAAAAAUAGAAAACAGUAAAUGAAGCGAGGUAUGCCAAUAAAAUAAGCAAAUCUCCUUGAGACAGAUUUCGCCCCCCCCAUGAAGUGCAAACGGGAUUAUGGACGUUUGUCUCCCAAAAUACAACGCUCAUUCUAAGGUCGAUAUUGCACAAUACCAACCUUGUCGAUCGAACCAAUGAAUGAUCGUACUCGAACGAAAUAAUCACGGAAAUAUAAGAGAAUUUUUAGAGCAGAAUAUGGAGAGAGAAGAAUUUAGAAAUCAAUUGAAUUCGUAAUUGAUUUUGUGUGUCAAAAACGAAUCUGGGGGUCUCUAUUUAUAGAGAUUGAAGUGUCUCAUGGAAUAGGUGUGUAACAUUUCAGGAACUGGUGCACCACUUGAUCUGAUUCGUCUUAGCCAUUGGAUCGCACUAUUUUCAUGAUCUGACGGCCCAAAUUGAACCAUGAAGUGAAGUGUCCAUUCAUCAUGCCUAUUCACCAAUUUCUGAACAGUCUCAGCCAUGCGGAUGCCACGCGUACAUUUAACCGCCAUGCAGGACGAAGGGACGCGACCUGCCACUCGUGCGCCACCUAGAAUGCCAACUUACCGAGCCUUGUGCUGCCACGUCAUCGAACCACGAGUCCAAUUCCGAAAACUAUAAGACUCCCCAGCUCCUCGCGACGAUGCGUACGUGCGAAGUGCCAAGUGCCAAGUGCGCCCAAUGCGUACUUUGCGACGUGCGCGUGCCAGGACCGGGUUCGGGGAGCGGCGAGAGUGGUGCAAAGCACCACUCUAGUGGUGACUAAAGUUAGCCAAGUGGUAGGUAACUUAUUAAAUUAUAUAUUAUUCACACAAUUCACUAUAUAAACAAGACUAUUUUCUUGUAAACUUUCGAUGUGGGACUCCUUUCCAUAUAAAAAACACUUAAAAUGGGCUUAUCAACAUAUGAGUCUAUAUUGGAGACUUUUCCAAUUCACCCAAAUUAAUUGCAAUGGUCCACAUCAUUAAAUAUUACAUUUAAUAUUUUUAAACCCAAAUUAAAUUCAAUUAAUUCCAACAAUCCCCCACAUGAAUGGAAGAAGUCGACUCAAAUCAAAGAAGACGGAAGAAGAGUACUAUCUGAAAGAUAACGCAUCAAGAUACGUAGCUUUCUCUUUGAACCUUCUUUAGUAAGAAUCUAUCGAACUCACUUGGCUAGUCAGUGAACGCAACGUUUUGAACUGUCAGCUGUUAUUGCAAGCUCAGACAACAGACCAAACACAUUAUCUCUCAUAUCAAACUUGGUUCUCUAUUGUGUUCAUUAUUUCGGCCCUGGGCUACUUGGGUUUUGCGAGUGAUUUAGAGAAUUCGCCUAAGUAAAUUCUCAUAGAAUCGGCCAAGUUCGCACUAACAUUGGUGAUGCACUAUAAAGAGUACCCUACUGUAAUUACUUGUACCAUUUAUAGUCAUCAUUAAAAGCAUAGCUUAUCCAUAAUACACUUCAUAGUCAGCACUUUUUGCAUCAUAGAAAUGGGAAGGAGUUAAACUCCUAAGUGCUUCUUAUCGAGUCAUUCAUAAUUAGUUUUCCUAUUGAACCUAGUCCAUGGGAUCUCCAGUUGCCAGGUUAGGUUUCCACUAAGAUGACUCAUUGGAUUUUAGGCUUUAAACCCAUUUCCCUCGAUGCGCAGUCUAUACCCUCUCUAGAUAACCCUUUAGUGAACGGAUCUGCUAGGUUUUCUUUUGACUUAACAAAAUCAAUUGAUAUUGUUCCAUUUGAGAGCAACUGCCGAACGGUGUUAUGUCUACGACGUAUAUGUCUCGACUUACCGUUAUACACAAAAUUUUCAGCCCUGGCUAUUGUGGCCUGGUUAUCACAAUGAAUACAAAUAGCCGGUACAGGCUUUGGCCAUAUAGGAAUAUCUUCUAUGAAGUAUCUUAACCAUUCUGCUUUUUCUCCUGCUUUGUCUAAAGCAAUAAAUUCAGAUUCCAUAGUAGAUCGAGCUAUACACGUUUGCUUAGAAGAUUUCCAUGAUAUAGCGCCACCACCGAGAGUAAAUACAUAGCCACUAGUAGACUUUGACUCGUCUGUAUCUGAUAUCCAAUUGGCAUCACUAUAUCCUUCAAUUACUAGAGGAUAAUUUCCAUAAUGUAAUGAAUACUUUUUGGUUCGUUUCAAGUAUCCCAAAACUCUAAGUAAUGCAUCCCAAUGUUGAUUACUUGGGUUACUUGUGUAACGACUCAGCUUACUUACCGCGUAAGCUAUAUCAGGUCUUGUACUAUUCAUCAUGUACAUUAAACUACCAAUAAUUUGGGAAUAUUCUAACUGCUAUUUCCCAUUUCCACUAUUCUUGUGAAGAACUAUACGUGGAAGAAAUGGGUUACUCGUCUCUUUAAUAUUAUGAGUCUUAAACCUCUCAAUUAUUUUAUCAACGUAAUGGGUUUGAGAUAAGACUGUUCCAUUUGAUGUUCUAGAUAUCUUUAUUCCUAGAAUCACGUCUGCUUCACUCAUAUCUUUCAUGUCAAAGUUAUUGGUAAGUAUAUUCUUUGUUCUAUUGAUGACUUCUAUAUUAGUCCCUAAUAUAAGCAUGUCAUCAACAUACAAACAGACGAGUACGUAUGCCUUUUCAAAUUUUUUCGAAUAUACGCAUUUGUCACAUCCAUUUAUGAUGAAUCCAUUCCUAAUCAUGACGCUGUCAAACUUUUUGUGCCAUUGUUUAGGAGUUUGCUUCAAACCGUAUAAGGCCUUAACUAGUUUGCAAACUUUGUUCUCUUGUCCUUUUACUAUGAAACCUUCUGGUUGUUCCAUAUAUACUUCUUCGUUUAAAUCACCAUUCAGGAAUGCAGUCUUAAUAUCCAUUUGAUGUAUUUGUAAGUUGGACAAGACUGCAAUAGCAAUUAAAACCCAAAUAGAAGUAAUUCUUGUUACUGGAGAAUAUGUGUCAAAGAAAUCAAUUCCUUCUUUCUGACGAUAUCCUUUUGCAACCAAUCGAGCCUUGUAUUUGUCUAUUGAACCAUCAGAUCUUAACUUUCUUUUAAAGAUCCAUUUGCAUCCUAUUGGUUUAGUUCCCUUAGGAAGAUCAACCAAUUGCCAAGUAUUAUUAUUCAUAAUAGAUUCAAUUUCACUAUUUAUAGCUUCCUUCCAGAAUACGGAUUCUGGACUAGUCACAGCUUCUUUAAAUGUUUGGGGCUCUUUCUCAAUUACGAAAGAAAUAAAGUCUGGACCAAAGGAUUUAGCGACCUUUGCUCUUUUACUCCUUCUUGAUUCAGGUUCUAUAUUGUUUUCAAUAGCAUUAUCUCGUGUUCUCUUUAGAGUAUUCUCAUGAAUAUCUCUUUUAUUAGGGAACACAUCUUCAAAGAAUUCAGCAUCUCGAGAUUCAAAAAUUGUAUUGACAUGAAUGUCACUUAUAUCAGAUUUAUGCACAAGAAAUCUGUACGCACUACUAUUUAUUGCAUAUCCGAUAAAAAUGCAAUCAAUAGUUUUAGGACCUAACUUAAUCCUUUUGGGAGGUGGAAUAGCCACUUUAGCUAGGCACCCCCACACUUUUAAGUAUUUAUAGGAAGGCAUUCUACCUUUCCAUAACUCAUAAGGUAUAGAACCAGUUUUCUUAUGGGGAACUCUAUUCAGAAUAAAGUUAGCAGUUAGCACUGCUUCCCCCCACAAGUUUUGUGGUAAUCCAGAACUUAUAAGCAUAGCAUUAACCAUGUCUUUUAAAGUUCUAUUUUUCCUCUCAGCAAUCCCAUUUUACUGCGGAGUAUACGGGGCUGUUGUUUGGUGAAUAAUACCAAACUUAGCACAUAAUUCAUCAAACAUGGACGAAUCAUAUUCACCACCUCUAUCGGAUCUUAAUACCUUAAUUGUUUUUCCAAGUUGAUUUUCAACUUCGUUUUUGUAAGUAACAAAUACAUUCAAUGCUUCGUUUUUGCUACUUAAUAAAUAAACUUGGCAAUAUUUACUGUAAUCAUCUAUAAACGUGAUAAAUUAUUUUUUACCACCUCGAGUCUGAACAAAUUUUAGAUCACAAAUAUCGCUGUGUAUUAAACACAACGGUUCACUACUCCUUUCAAUUAUGUUAAAAGGUUUUUUAGCAAAUUUUGCUUCAACACAAAUUUCACAUUUAUGUUUGUCUUCGGAGUCAAGUUUAGGUAUAAGACCUAAACCUACAAGUUUUCUUAAGGAAGCACGAUUUACAUGUCCUAAUCUGCUAUGUCAUAAAUUCGAAGAUUCAAGCAAGUAAACAGAAGCAUUAGUUUUAUUGAUAACUUGUGGAUACAAAUAUGUUGAUUUUUUGUCCACUACAACAGCAUUGGUCUUAAAUAGACCAUCAAGUAAAUAACCCUUUCCAACAUACAUGCCCCCCUUAGUAAGUAUAAAUCUAUCAGAUUCAAAUACCAUUUUAAAUCCUUUCUUACUAAGAAUAGCUCUUGAAAUCAAAUUCUUUCUGAUAUCUGGGACAUGUACAACUUCAUUAAGCGUCAGUUCCUUCCCCGAUGUGAAUUUCAGAAUAACCUUUCCAAUCCCUUCAAUAUUGGAUGUUGUAGAAUUUCCCAUGUAAAGACACUCAUUAUGAUUCACGGUCUUAUAUUCAGCGCAUAGAUCCUUAUCUGCACAGAUGUGACGAGUGGCUCCUGUGUCCAACCACCAAUCCUUGGCAUUAGAUACCAUAUUAACUUCAGAAACAACAGCAGAUAGGUUGAUAUCUCCAACAUCCGUAGAAAUUUUAUCCACUUCGGUUAUAUUGGCUUGGGGCGGUUUCUUUUUCUGUGUAUCCUUCUUUUUGUUUCGACAGUCUUUAGCUCGAUGUCCCGGCUUCCCGCAAGUAUAACAGUUGCCUUUGAACCGUUUUGCAUUGUUGACUUUUCUUUGUCCAUAGAUGAGCCAGAGCGCUUCCUUUUCUUGUUCUUAGACCCCGAGUCUUCCACCAUGUUAGCCUUUGCUUCCAUGUUGCGGACAUUAUUCUUUUUUGCAGCCCGGUUGUCUUCUUCAAUGCGAAGUCGAACAAUUAGAUCCUCCAUCGUCAUCUCUUUGCGUUUAUGCUUGAGAUAGUUUUUGAAAUCUUUCUAUAGUGGAGGUAGUUUCUCGAUCAUAGCAGCAAUUUGGAAAGAUUCACUCAAAGUCAUACCUUCAACUUCAAUAUUGUGAAGUAGAACUUGUAUCUCUUGAACUUGACUCAUAACUGUCUUUGAAUCAGUCAUUUUGAAAUCUAGAAAUUUGCCGACAAUAAAUUUCUUCAUUCCGGCAUCUUCGGUUUUGUAUUUUUUGUCAAGAGACUUCCACAGUUCUUUAGCCGUCUUGUAAUUACAAUACAUACUAUAUAAAGUGUUAUCUAAUCCAUUGAGAAUGCAAUUACGGCAUAAGAAAUCCGCACGUUUCCAUGCUUCAAUAGCUAACUGAGUAUUUUUAUCAGUAGCAUUCUCCGAUGUUCGUGCAGGACAUUCUUCACGCAGAAAUUUUACUAAGUUCAAUGCUGUCAAAUAGAAUAGCAUCUUCUGUUGCCAACGUUUGAAAUCCGUGCCAUUGAACUUUUCCGGUUUCUCAUAUUGUGAAGCUGGUGGCAUGACAAAUUGAUUGGAACCAGAAUUUGGCGCAAUCACAGCAUUGGUAUUGCUCUCAACGGUACCAAUCGCAGCGCUAGUAUUAUUAUUUGAUGUACUAGCCAUUUUCUGUAAGACCACAAUUACAGAAAAUAAUUAAUAAUAGAAAUGUAGAAGUAAUGAGAAAAAUAAAUCUGUCUUAAGAUUGUUGUCGAAAAUUCGACUAACGCAAUCAAAAGAACAAAUAAAAUAAGCAAAAAAAUAGAAAAUAGUAAAUGAAGUGAGGUAUGCCAAUAAAAUAAGCAAAUCUCCUUAAGACAGAUUUUGCCCCCCAAUGAAGUGCAAACGGGAUUAUGGACGUUUGUCUCCCAUGAUACAACGCUCAUUUGAAAGUCGAUAUUGCACAAUACCAAUCUUGUCGGUCGAACCAAUGAAUGAUCGUACUCGAACGGAAUAACCACGGAAAUAUAAGAGAAUUUUUAGAGCAGAAUAUGGAGAGAGAAGAAUUUAGAAAUUAAUUGAAUUCGUAAUUGAUUUGGUGUGUCAAAAACGAAUCUGGGGGUCUCUAUUUAUAGAGAUUGAAAUGUCUCAUGGAAUAGGUGUGUGACAUUUCAGGAACUGGUGCACCACUUAGUUUGAUUCGUCUUAGCCAUUGGAUAGCACUAUUUUCAUGAUCUGACGGCCCAGAUUGAACCAUGAAGUAAAGUGUCCAUUUAUAAUGCUAUUCACCAAUUUCUGAACAGUCACAGCCAUGCGGAUGCCACGCGUACAUUUAAUCGCCACGCAGGACGAAGGGACGCGACCUACCACUCGUGUGCCACCUAGAAUGCCAACUUGCCAAGCCUUGUGCUGCCACGUCAUCGAACCACGAGUCCAAUUCCGAAAACUAUAAGGCUCCCCAGCUCCUCACGACGAUGCGUACAUGCGAAGUGCCAAGUGCGCCUCUAAAGCGCCCAAUGCGUACUUUGCGACGUGCGCGUGCCGGGACCGGGUCCGGGGAGCAGCGCGAGUGGUGACUAGCCUUUGGCUAGCUAAAGUUAGCCAAGUGGUAGGUAAUUUAUUAAAUUAUAUAUUAUUCACACAACCCACUAUAUAAACAAGACUAUUUUCUUGUAAACUUUCGAUGUGGGACUCCUUUCCAUAUAAAAAACACUUAAAAUGGGCUUAUCAACAUAUGGGCCUAUAUUGGAGACUUUUCCAAUUCACCCAAAUUAAUUGCAAUGGCCCACAUCAUUAAAUAUUACAUUUAAUGUUUUUAAACCCAAAUUAAAUUCAAUUAAUUCCAACAGGUGGUUCUUUUCAAAUUGCAUUUUGACAGUAGCAUGUUGUGAACCACCUCAUCUAAAAGCUGAACUUGUUUGAGAGAUAUUUAUUUAUUUGAAUUUAGUCUUCAGCAUGCCUCUUUACGUGCAAACUGGAUCAACCUUUAUCAAAGGCCGGACAGUUGCACAAUUAUUGUGAAUGAGCGGUGGAGAGACUUGAAAUCUGAAUCUGCACAAUAAGCUUAAGCUGAUAUAUAUAUACGCAUUAAUAUUAAAAUUUUCAUAUGAUAAUUAGCCUUCAUGGACUAAUAACCAUGUGUUCACCAUGUUAUAGUGGAAAUAUCACCAUUUGAUUAUUGUUUUGUAAUAAACUUCCUUGUUAGUUGCCUCUUAUUUCAGGUUUUGAUUCGCUUUGAAAGCAUAACUUUAUUACUGUUUUCUUUCAGAAGUGAUAUUAAGAUACUCCAUAUAUAAGAAAAAUAUGUCAUCUAUUGACGAACUACCAUGAUAUGUUUAUGUUUUAUUUAUAUAUGAAGACGUCAAGGUGGUAGAUGAAGUCCUCCGAAGUCUCCAAAAUUCAGGCCUGCUCCGUCCUGCAGGGAUUGCAACUUCUUUGACAAAUUCAGGACAACAAUGGUAAAUAAGUUGCUCGACCAUUUAUCCUAACUUGCCUGUGGUUCUUAAAGGUUUAUUACUGUCUGAGGAUUGUGAGGAUGAGAAUGUUAUUAAAUCAUGCCUUGUUUUUGUUUCAUUUUUGGAGUAUGUGAUCUUGAUGCAUCUCAAUCAGGGACUUUCCGAAUGGUUGGGCACCGCUUCAACACAUGAUUGUUGAAGGCCUGGUAAGGUCGAGAUCUGAACAAGCAAGGUCUAUAGCAGAAGAUAUUGCUGUGAAGUGGAUCAGAACAAACUAUGUGGCUUACAAGAAAACGGGAAAUAUGCAUGAAAAAUACAAUGUCGAAAAAUGUGGAGAUUUGGAGGUGGUGGUGAAUACGUACCCCAAGUAAGCAAAGUUUAUCUUUUUAGACGUAAUGAUCCUUUCUAUACUUCUUAACAAUUUCAAACUAGCUCGUGGAGAGGUAGAACAUUCUGUGCAAUUGAAAUAAUCAAGUGAUUGUUUUACUUUAUUGAACAAAUGAUUUUGUUGGACUGUGAGGAGCCUAAUUAUAAUGUGCACUUAUCCCUAAACCGCGGGUCAACCCCAUAUUCCUAUAUAAGUAAAGCUUUGAGAUGGCCAUUUUAGUUUGUGCGAGAGAGGUGCGAGGAAAAUUUUGUAUUCUUAUCCUCCAUUUUAUAAUGAAAACCUACAACAGCCAGAUGAUGCAAGUCUCGUAUUGAGAGUGAAUCUUGAUAAACAUCUGUGCUUUGCUUGUUUAUUCGUUGUGUUUCUGAUUAUUUUUGGCUUCUGAGAACAGGGAUUAGAACUUAAGUUUCAGAUUUCGUAUUAUUUUUGCGUGUCAGAAGUAAAUCAUUGAUCUGUAUUUCAUGGGCUUCUUUACAUGUCUUUACAGACGGGAUUUGGCUGGUCAAAUGGUGUUGUAUUAGCUUUCUUGGAGGAAUUCGGAUGGCCUCAAGACCUGAAGCUUGAUUGUCCAUAAGCAAUGGAAAAACAGAAUUCCAUAUAAUUCUGGAACAAAAUAUUUGCAUUCUUCAACUUUUUGUGCACUUGCUAGAAAGUUGCAUGGAGAGAUUGUGAAAUGAUUGUAAUCUUAACAUUAAAGCUUCAGUCCAGAAGUGGAUUCAGGUACAAAGGCUUGACAGCAUAUUCGCUCGAUUUAUAUUUUGUUAUUGUCAUGUCUUCUACAAUGAAUGAAAUUACAUAAAUAAGUUUCAUAAAAAUAAGCUACUCAUUUAUUUCGACGUUUAGCCAAACAGGCUUACACGUGAUUUCCAUGUUGGGCAGAGACAAAUUUCUUAAGGUAAUUAUUGGUUGUAAAUUCUAGAUUUUGCAAAAAGUGAUUCGAUGUGAAUGAUCACUCAACUAAGCUCCAAAGCACAAAAUAAGUGGAGUUAGGUACCUAUUACUUAAUUAUUUAAUCAAACAUCAAACUAAUGACAAACGCAAAUUCAUCAUCCGAUACGUGAUUUUGAAGUAAAUAUGUUUUAUAUACAUAGAAUAUGCUUUAACAUUACAAGAAAAUUUGGCAUUAGCAAAUUAUAGUAUUUUUCAAGUUUUAAGCGAGACGAAGUUAUACGCACUUGAAAUAUUUCCAAAUAUUUUCUUAAGAAUAAAGAGAGAAGCGAGAAUAAAAACAAAUAAAAAUUUACAAGACUCGACUCGGAUAUUACAAAGAAUUGUCUAUUGACACCAACACCAUUACCAUGAUUAGUGUUUCCAACCAGAGUAGUGUACAUUUUUCCAAGAGUUAGGUAAGAUUUUAGUAUCACUAAUGUUAAAACAUCAGUAUAUGUGGCACUAAUAUGUUAUUAAAUAAAACGUAUAAUAAAGAAUAAUAAAAUGUGUCACUUAUUUUACCUUUCAUUGAAUUUAUAACAUUGUGCAAUCUAAAUUGAUGUUAUAGCACCAUUGAUGCUAGAUAACAUUAUUCGGUACACUCACAUAUUUCUUAUUUUUAUUUGAACUUGAUAGUAUAUUAUUAUUAUUUUGACAAAUUUAGCACUUCUUGUGGAUUGAUUUCCAUCCACAAAACGAUUUCUCUCUCAGAAUCAAAGAACGAGGAGUUGAUGUCCUAAUGGUAAAUAGACGGAAUCUAUCGCUAAGAAUUAACACUACCGCUAACGGUUGAAAGCAUGCUGUCAAGAAAUUGAUCUGGUUACCAAAUUGCUACAAAGUCUAUAAAUUGGGGAUGAGUGCUGAUAUUUUCCCUUUAUUUACAUAUCAAUCACCACUUGAUUAAGUCGAGAGCUGCUUCACAUACAGGGUUUGGGUUCCGUACCGAAUAAUCGUAGCACCGAGAGGGUGGGUGGGGGUUUUUGAAAGUUUUUUACAGGUUGCAGGACUCACCUGGUGUGAUUGUUGAACCCCUACCCUAUUAACCUAGCAAAAUUCAAUUAAGUCACUGUUUAGUCUCCAUUUUUCAAAACGCAUUCUUUCAUAAACUUAUUUUCAACCACAUAUUUCAUAAAAUCCACAUAAUUUUUAAUAAAUCAAACGGGGUUGUUGUAAAAUACUAAAUAAGCAUAAGCAUUUAAAAAAAAAAUGUUCUAGGAGUUUGGCUUAUGUUGUCUUUACUUUUUGUAAAUUAAAAAUGUUAUAACUGGAAGUGGACAAUCUUAGAUCAAAGUCAUUAACAAGUGUCGGGUAAUGAAAAUAUUACAUAUAUAAUUAAGGAGGUAGAAAGAUGAUUAAUCUAUUAUUAAUUAAAGAUAUUUUAGAUUACAAGAUUGAAAAAAUCAAGCCCUAAUAUUAAGGAAGGGCCCCUCCAAAGAUUCUAGGGUCCUAUAUAAAGAGUGAAAAUCAUUGAUGAAUGGUAGAAUAUAAUGACUCCAUUUUAUAUUCUAUUUAAUUAAUUUUGAUUAAGAAAUGAUUAGUGGAAAGUGAUUAUAAGUUGCACAAAAGUAUAUGUAGUUCUAUGUGAUUUGUUCUUUUCAAUGUAUCUCAUUAGUCAAUUAGAGUGGCUAAAAAAUAAUCGAAUUGGAAAGUCACUAGUCAUGCACAUAUUUGGCUAAGCUUUUUUUAUUAAAAAAAAAAAAAAAAAACAUUAUGAUAAGUAGCAUGCAUGAGCAAAGUGGUGAGAGCAUCUCCAAUGUGUACUAUGGACUAUCAUCUAGGUGACAUGCAAGUCGAAAAUGAAAAGUCUAUUCAGAUAUGUUACAAUUUUAUUUUUUUUUAGUAAAAAAUUACUUAUUUUGAGAGUUAUUAAAAAAAUUAAUUUACUUAUUUACUUUCAAAAAAAGAGUAAAGCUCUCAAUUCUCAUCCUUUAGUUUAGAAAGAAGGCUAAAUUCUUCGGUUCAAACCCGAUUAAUUUCAAGCGAAACAUGUUCAAUUGCUGUAGUUGCUGCAAAGGUUAUUCAAAUUUCUGUUAAUUAACGAGAGUUAUUGAAAGUAGGUUUAAACUUAUUUAAAAUUAUUGCAAGGAUGCAUCAUGCAUGCAUUAAGCCACCGAGAACACAAUAGAAGAGGUUGACAACAAGGAAAGUAGAAGAAUAAAAUACAUACAUAUUAAGUUCACAUUUAAGUUUAGAGGUCAAGUUAGUUGAGUUGAUUACAUAAAGAGUUUGAGUUUUCACUUCUAAAAUAAAGUGCUCUUUGUUCUUUUCAAUCUAAUAUAAGUUGAGUACUUGUUUUGAGGAAUACAGUGUAAUGUGUUAACCAAUUGACUAUUCAGAUUUGCGAUUUGUUCUUAUUGCAGAAAUAGUUAAAGGUGACACAAGUACACCUGAAAUGUAUUGAACGGACCACAUGUCGAGUUUAAUUCUAUAGCAUGACCGUGCGGAUAAUUAAAUUCCACUUGAUCGCUAUGUAUUUUAUCUAAAUCUCUUGAUCGGGUUAUGUAUAUCUUUUCGUGAUUUUAAUGAUUUUUUGAUUCAUCAAUGGGUGAGAUUAAUUUGAUUUGUCAAAUACCUUGUUGAGUUAGGAGUUUGAGAAUGAGCAAAGUAGAUAAUAUGAAUUCAUGUCAGAAACUGUUGCCUUGAAAAAUGGGUAGAGUAACUACUUAAAUAUUUGUUUUUGUACAAUUAAAAAUUGAGCUCUAUUUUUUCGACAUUGGUGAUUAGUUCGCAAGACCGCUAAAGAAAAUGGUGAUUAAGUUAGUGAGAAUAAUUAGAAUGACAAAACGGUAAUCUAUGCUUAUACAUAAUUAUCAAAUAUCGAAUGGGAAUAAAAUACAUACACGGCAAGUCAAAGAAAAGUAUUACAACAUUUUUGGAUUUCUAUGAUCUUAUAUUCUCCAAGAGUUCAGUUUUUUACCUUUAGAGGUAAAAUAAAAAAAUUAAUAAUUAGAGUGGGUGGUCUAGGAUAGACUAGACAUUAUCUAAUUUUUGGAGCUUUGAUAAUAUAUGUCCGAUUAGGUCCAUGUGGUAACUCUAUAAAGUAUUGAAACUUAAUUAAAGUAAUUAUAAUAGUUUUGGAUUUAAUUAUAAUUAUAAUAAAGUUGUAUACUUAGUUGUAAUUGUCAUAAAAGCUAUAAACUUAAUUAUAAUUGUAAUUGAAGUUCAAGGACUACACGUAUAAUUAAAUGUAAAUUAAUUGGAUUUGGACUUUAUUAAAAUUCUUAUUUGAAUGUGAAAUUAUUAUUGUACAAGGAUUGAAACUAUUCUAUCACUAUAAAUAGAAACUAGAUAGAAUCUAAAAUUCUAUAGCAGUCAAAAUACAUAAUUUCAUAGUAUUCAUAUUUGGAGAGAAAAUAAUUAUUUUCUUACUUUAUUCAAUUGUCAAGUUCAAGAAUUAGUUCCUUGAUUUAAUUAAAAGAAUGUACCCACCUACCAGUGUAAUCUUAACUUUGGAGAAUAUCAUAAAAGAUUUGGAGGUUUGAAGCAUCAAACUCUUGCAAUUAAAAGUUGAAAGCUUGUAAUCCAAAAAAAUAGAAAUUCGUGAUUCAGAAUUAAUCAAGAAUUGACCAUUGAAUUUAGGUAAAAAUUCGAAUUAUUUUAUUCUUGAUAUAACAUACAUGUGAAUAUCUAGACAAUCUUGUUUAUUAAAUUAAAUAAUUUUUUAAUUACUGAAUAAUUCUGCUUCUGCACUCCAACAUACAAAAUAAAAAACAAAGUGUCCUUUCCAUAUGUUUGCUUUAUUUUCGAAUUUAUGUGCAUCGAUAGCUAUAAUUUUGAAUUUAUUAUUGCAAAUUUUUUUUCGAGUUUGGUAUAUUAAAACUUGAUCUUCAAAUGUUGCCUAUUCCCUUUUUAGUUUCUUUCAUUAUAUCAUUCUAUUUUAUGCACCGUUAAUUCAAGAUUAAUUGCUUUUAUAAAAUACAAUUCAGUCAGAGGUGGGAAAUUAGCUAAGCUACAAAGUCAGACAAAAAAAACCCGCUCCCUAAAGAAGCAAUAAAAGAAAAAAUAAAAAUAAAAAAAAGGAAACCAAAGAAGAACUGAACACAUUACACACACACCAAAAAUCACAUAAACACAAAUUCGAAAAAUUGAAGUGGGUUUGAGGAUAUUAUGGUUCAAAUAUGGGAUUUUCAUAACUGUAAAAUGAAAUGCUUCCUUCAUACUAAUCCACAUCUAAAACUGUACAGUGGUUUUCAAAGCAUGCAGCUUGCAAACAUAAUCAAAUAUUGUAAUAAGUCUGAAAAUAAAUUCUAUGCCCUUAUUCGAUUUAUCUAAAAGUCAAACUUUUAGUAAAUUUUGAUAAAAGUGUUGAAAAAUAAAAUGGAUGGAGGUAAUAUAUAUGACACGAUAUAAAGUAUAUGAUUAUAAGCAAAUAACAAGAUAAAAGGCAAAUAAUUAAUAGGCAGAGGAAUUGAGUAUUUUAUUUAAUUAACUAAUAUGAAGAAAAUAAAUACAUUAACUAUGCUUACACAAUUAUUCUACAUUUCAAUAAUACAAAAUUUGUGAAAAGAAUCUAAUAUUUAUAGGGGUGCAUUUUAAACAAUAGAAAUACCAUAAAAAUGAAAACAAGAUCAAAAAUUACGUGGAAUGAAUGAAACAAUAUUUUUCCAAUAAAAAUGAGUCUAAUGAAGGAAAUAAUAUUUUUUUUUUUCAAUAAAAGCAAGAGUAGUAAAGGAAAAAAUAUUUUUCCAAAAAAUCUAACCUAAUUUAGGUAAAAAAAUUCAAUAAUCUCCAUCUUGACACAAAUUUCGAUACAACAAACGAAACUUCAAAAAUUUUUCACUUGAAAAAAUAAAUCCAACUUCAACGAAAAUCAAACUUUCUCCAACACAAAAAUUGUCACGAUCCCAAUUUAGUCAUUUAACUUUACGUAUAAAGAUUUCAAAAUUUUAUAUACUUUGUGAAGAGAGAAAAAUGUUGGCUAUUUGUAUUGAGUAGGCAAGCAACAAUAAAUAUAAGAUAGUUGAAAUUUUUUUUAUAUACUUGGUUACAUUGCAAAAAGUGUAUUAGAGACUAAUAGAUAUACAAAAGUUGCAUUACAAAAGUUUUCACUACACAAAAAUUUCACUACACAAAAGUCGCACUACGCAUCAUAUCUUACUAUCAUAACCAACCGAUUUGUACUAAUAGUUAUACUACAUAUCAAAGAUCACCGAGACACAUUUAUUCUCCAGGAAAAUCAUUUGAAAAUAAGUACGUCAUAGUAGUAGCCUCGAAGUAGUCAAUAUAAUAAUGAAAUCCCACAAAGUGAUGGAAAUCCGAAAAGUCUGAAUACGUCAUCCAUGUGUGGACUUCUUUAACAUACAUACAAUAUCGGCUAUCUUCCGAAUUCAUUCAUUCACCCUAGGUAAAGUCAAUGUAUUCGAUGGUGAUCAUCUACAAGAAAAUAAAAUAAUGUGAAUAGAUUUAUUCAGGGAAUAAUCUAUACCAUAAUCUUUCUUUAAUUUGAAUAAGUAAGGAAAACAAUGAGCCCCAAUUAUAGAUGUUCAAUCCUACCCGCGCGCAAUAUGAAAAUAACAAUAUAUGAGCUUAUAGUUGAUUACACCACUUUGGUGUAAAAUCUAUAAUAUAAAUCAUUAUCCAAUGCAAUGCCAAUAUCCAAUGCAAUGUCAAUAUCAAUGGAUAGAAUGUUGGAUCUAUAAUUGAUUUGGAAAGCAAGAAGUAAUCCAAUAAACAUAAUUACAAUAAAUAUGUUUGAAAUAAAAGUAGGUAUAGACUACUCACCUUCAAGUUGCAAGACAAUUAAAGUGCUAUAUUUAUAAAGUUACUUGACUUUGAUUUUUGUUGUAUGCAUUUCCAUUUCUCUCCUUCUCCCCUAUUUAUAGUAAUAAUUUAGAAUUAAAUUAAUAGUUAAUUUAUUUUUCCUUAAUCAUUAUUUUGCCACCUUUUACCCUAUUAUGCCAUUUGUCAUUGUAAUAUUUAAAGUGUCAAAAUGAUAUGUGUAAGGUAGUCACCUUAUACCAUUUGUCAUUUUCAUAUUUAGAGUGGCAAUAUCAUUUAUUGAGAGUAGCCACCUCAUUUUUCUUAAUUUCUCCACAUGGUUUUUAACCAAAAUUUUAAUUCAACUAUUUUUAUAAGCUUAUAAUAUUAUUAAUAAAUUUUUUACCAUGUUACAUGAAAUAUAUAUCACAAUACAAGGUAUGGAUAUGCAUUAUAAACUUACGAAAGUUUUGGGAUGUCACAAAAAUACUCAUUCUCUUCCAUGGUAUCCAAUACAGAUACAUAAACCCAAACAUUGGGUUCUCCAAAAUUCACAAAGAAUUAGAAAUUACCAAAUAGUGCCGAAUCAGACACUGUAAUAAAAUCAACUCCCAAUACUAUCAUAGAAGACCCCUGGCUAGUCUCAACACAUUAAAAAACACUAAAAGCGUGCAACCGAAUUAGCAUCCACCUAUCUCCAGUAGGUUUAUCCCUAGCAGUAAUGAAACUACAAGCGCCGAUAAUGGUGGCAAAGCGAAAUUAUCUAUAUCCUCCAAACUUAACUGAGCUGUAUUCUUCAAUAUGGACCUCGAUGAAAAUCCUAAAGGUAUAGUACUAAACUGAAUCUCCACUAUUUCAGUAAAUCUGUGCUGACUUUUCUUCAUAAAUUUUGCCCUACCUCGCAAGAUGUAUAACCGGGAUUUCUUCUAUCCCUCCAAUAUAACAUGAACACCCUCCUGAAUCCUUAAAACUCCACCUCCUCCAGAGAACGUGUACCUUUUUGAAUUAAGAGUACUCAACGAAAUGAUAUUUUUCUUCAAGUUUGGAAUAUAUAGAACAUGAUCAAGUGUUUUACAUGUUCCAUCCACCAGCUUCAAUUCGACUCUACAAAUACUAGCUACCCGACAAAGUUCGUUGUUACCUAUGACAACGACACCUUGUGUUACCAUUUCAUAUAUUUCAAACAAAUCCUGAUUGCGAUGCAUAAAAACACACAAGCUGUAUCCAAAAUUCACUCCUCGUCAUGUUUGGAUUCAUAUAAGAAAUGGUCAAAACAUCUCCAUUAGUGAAAUAGUUAUCGGUUAUGUUGAUCUCGUCUGAAGUAUUUGAUUGCUUCCCAUGAUUUGCUACCAAAUUGCUUUUAUUUUGCAAUUUGUCGCAAUCCCUCUUUAUGUAUCAUUUCUACUUGCAAUAACAACAAACUUGACUAUUGAAAUUUGACCUUGACUUACCCCUUCUCCGAUCACAAUGAACAAUAAAGCCUUCUCCAUCUCUGGCAUCAAUUCGACCAGAUACUUCAUAUUCUCUUUUGAAAACAAGACAUCAUACGCAUCUUCAAUGAAAAGAAUAUCAUGACUAUAUAAGAUAGUAUCUCUAAAUGAAGCAUGUAGCGAAUACAAAAGGAUUAAAGCCAAAUCUUCUUCAUCAUACUUUACUUCUAACUUUUCCAAAUCAGCGAUGAUUUUCUUGAACAUAAUUACAUGAUUUUCCAAAGAUCCACCUUCUGCCAUGCGAUAAGAAUACAACAUCUGCUUUAUAUGCAAUUUGCUUGUCAAACUUUCACUCAUGUUUAAUUGUUCCAACUUUAACCACAAUGUAGUUGCCGUUUUUUCAUUCAAAAUGUCUUAAAGAAUAUUGUUAGAGAGAUGAAGAUGGAUUUGUGAAAGUGUCUUCCGAUCCUUCCGUUGUUUCUCCUUCGUCUUUCAAGUUGUUGACAUUUUCUCAAAUCUCAACAACGCAUAAUCCAAAUCCAUCUGCUCUAAUACAACUUGCAUCUUCACUUGCCACAAAGAGAAUGUUGUAUUGUGACCCAAGAGCGAAAUCUCAUACUUCAUUGUUGCUAUCAAUAAAAAAAACCUCGAACAAAUCACAAUCAAUAGCUUUGAUACCACUUGUUGAAAAAAGAGAAUGGAUUGAGGUAAUCUAUAUGAUACGAUAUGUAGUAUAUGAUCGCAAACAAAUAACAAGAUAAAGAACAAAAAAUUUAUUGACAGAGGAACGGAAUAUUUUAUUCAAUUGACGAAUAUGGAGAAAACAAAUACAAUAACUGUGCCUGCACAAUUAUUAUAUACUUCAGUAAUACAUAUGCUGACUUUUCUUCAUAAAUUUUGCCCUACCUCGCAAGAUGUAUAACCGGGAUUUCUUCUAUCCCUCCAAUAUAACAUGAACACCCUCCUGAAUCCUUAAAACUCCACCUCCUCCAGAGAACGUGUACCUUUUUGAAUUAAGAGUACUCAACGAAAUGAUAUUUUUCUUCAAGUUUGGAAUAUAUAGAACAUGAUCAAGUGUUUUACAUGUUCCAUCCACCAGCUUCAAUUCGACUCUACAAAUACUAGCUACCCGACAAAGUUCGUUGUUACCUAUGACAACGACACCUUGUGUUACCAUUUCAUAUAUUUCAAACAAAUCCUGAUUGCGAUGCAUAAAAACACACAAGCUGUAUCCAAAAUUCACUCCUCGUCAUGUUUGGAUUCAUAUAAGAAAUGGUAAAAACAUCUCCAUUAGUGAAAUAGUUAUCGGUUAUGUUGAUCUCGUCUGAAGUAUUUGAUUGCUUCCCAUGAUUUGCUACCAAAUUGCUUUUAUUUUGCAAUUUGUCGCAAUCCCUCUUUAUGUAUCAUUUCUACUUGCAAUAACAACAAACUUGACUAUUGAAAUUUGACCUUGACUUACCCCUUCUCCGAUCACAAUGAACAAUAAAGCCUUCUCCAUCUCUGGCAUCAAUUCGACCAGAUACUUCAUAUUCUCUUUUGAAAACAAGACAUCAUACGCAUCUUCAAUGAAAAGAAUAUCAUGACUAUAUAAGAUAGUAUCUCUAAAUGAAGCAUGUAGCGAAUACAAAAGGAUUAAAGCCAAAUCUUCUUCAUCAUACUUUACUUCUAACUUUUCCAAAUCAGCGAUGAUUUUCUUGAACAUAAUUACAUGAUUUUCCAAAGAUCCACCUUCUGCCAUGCGAUAAGAAUACAACAUCUGCUUUAUAUGCAAUUUGCUUGUCAAACUUUCACUCAUGUUUAAUUGUUCCAACUUUAACCACAAUGUAGUUGCCGUUUUUUCAUUCAAAAUGUCUUAAAGAAUAUUGUUAGAGAGAUGAAGAUGGAUUUGUGAAAGUGUCUUCCGAUCCUUCCGUUGUUUCUCCUUCGUCUUUCAAGUUGUUGACAUUUUCUCAAAUCUCAACAACGCAUAAUCCAAAUCCAUCUGCUCUAAUACAACUUGCAUCUUCACUUGCCACAAAGAGAAUGUUGUAUUGUGACCCAAGAGCGAAAUCUCAUACUUCAUUGUUGCUAUCAAUAAAAAAAACCUCGAACAAAUCACAAUCAAUAGCUUUGAUACCACUUGUUGAAAAAAGAGAAUGGAUUGAGGUAAUCUAUAUGAUACGAUAUGUAGUAUAUGAUCGCAAACAAAUAACAAGAUAAAGAACAAAAAAUUUAUUGACAGAGGAACGAAAUAUUUUAUUCAAUUGACGAAUAUGGAGAAAACAAAUACAAUAACUGUGCCUGCACAAUUAUUAUAUACUUCAGUAAUACAUAUCCAUCAAAAAUUGUCUAAACAUCUCCAUCAGUCAAAUAGUUAUCGAUUAUGUUGGUCUCGUCUGAAAUAUUUGAUUGCUUCACAUGAUUUGCUACCAAAUUACUUUUAUUUUGCAAUUUGUUGUAAUCCCUCUUUGUGGAUCACUUCUACUUGCAAUAACAACAAAUUCGAUUAUUGAAAUUUGACCUUGACUUACCCCUUCUCCGAUCACAAUGAACAAUAAAGCCUUCUCCAUCUCUGGCAUCAAUUCGACCAGCUACUUUAUAUUCUCUUUUGAAAACAAGACAUCAUACGCAUUUUCAAUGAAAAGAAUAUCACGACUAUAUAAGAUCGUAUCUCUAAACGAAGCAUGCAGCGAAUACAAAAGGAUUAAAGCCAAAUUUUCUUCAUCAUACUUUACUUCUAGCUUCUCGAAUUCAGCGAUGAUUUUCUUGAACAUAAUCACAUGAUUUUCCAAAUAUUCACCUUCUGCCAUACGAUAAGAAUACAACAUCUGCUUUAUAUGCAAUUUGCUUGUCAAACUUUUAGUCAUGUUUAAUUGUUCCAACUUUAACCAAAAUGUAGUUGUCGCUUUUUCAUUCAAAAUGUCAAAAUGUCUUAAAGAAUAUUGUUAGAGAGAUAAAGAUGGAUUUGUGGAAAGUGCAGUCCGAUCCUUCCGUUGUUUCUCCUUCGUCUUUCAAGUUGUUGACUUUUUCUCAAAUCUCAACAACGCAUCAUCCAAAUCCAUUUGCGCUAAUACAGCUCGCAUCUUCACUUGCCACAAAGAAAAUGUUGUAUUGUGACCCAAGAGCGAAAUCUCAUACUUCAUUGUUGCUAUCAGUAACAAAAACAUCGAAAAAAUCACAAUCAAUAGCUUUGAUAUCACUUGUUGAAAAAUAAAAUUGAUUGAGGUAAUCUAUAUGAUACGAUAUGUAGUAUAUGAUCACAAACAAAUAACAAGAUAAAAAGCAAAAAAUUUAUUGACAGAGGAAAGAAAUAUUUUAUUCAAUUGACGAAUAUGGAGAAAUCAAAUACAAUAACUGUGCAUACACAAUUAUUAUAUACUUCAGUAAUAUAAAACUUGCGAAAAGAGUUUAAUAUUUAUAGGGUUGCAUGUCAAAACCUAGAAAUACCAUAAUGAUGCAAGAUGAAAAAUCAUGUGGAAUAAAAGAAAACAAUAUUUUCCCCCAAAAAUUCCAGCCUAAUUUGGGUUUUAAAAAAAAAUCUAACAAAAAAUUGAUAAAAUUAAAUAUGUGGUUACAAAAAUUGACAAAAUUUGUGGAUACCAUUAAAUGUACGUUGAAAAUGAAUUUUAGAAAAUGGUGAUCAAACAAGAGCUAUAUCUCUAACUAGUUAAUUUAAAUAAAAGUAGAUUAUUUGGAGCUUUAGCUAUGUUACUUUUGGGUUUUUGGUAUCCAAUAAAUUUCGGACUAUGAUGUUAACGAGGGUUAAUAUUAUUUCAUAGGCAUAGAUCGAUGAAUGAAAUAAGUCAAACAACUAAGUCCAUGAGCUAUACCCGGCCCAAUUAUAUUCCCUCUUGGAUGGCUUGAAUCUUGGCUCGUUUACCUCUUUAAAGGUCCAACUUAAAAUCUAACCCUAGAGUAUAUAUAUGGAUAUAACCCUAGCCACUUUNNNNNNNNNNNNNNNNNNNNNNNNNNNNNNNNNNNNNNNNNNNNNNNNNNNNNNNNNNNNNNNNNNNNNNNNNNNNNNNNNNNNNNNNNNNNNNNNNNNNNNNNNNNNNNNNNNNNNNNNNNNNNNNNNNNNNNNNNNNNNNNNNNNNNNNNNNNNNNNNNNNNNNNNNNNNNNNNNNNNNNNNNNNNNNNNNNNNNNNNNNNNNNNNNNNNNNNNNNNNNNNNNNNNNNNNNNNNNNNNNNNNNNNNNNNNNNNNNNNNNNNNNNNNNNNNNNNNNNNNNNNNNNNNNNNNNNNNNNNNNNNNNNNNNNNNNNNNNNNNNNNNNNNNNNNNNNNNNNNNNNNNNNNNNNNNNNNNNNNNNNNNNNNNNNNNNNNNNNNNNNNNNNNNNNNNNNNNNNNNNNNNNNNNNNNNNNNNNNNNNNNNNNNNNNNNNNNNNNNNNNNNNNNNNNNNNNNNNNNNNNNNNNNNNNNNNNNNNNNNNNNNNNNNNNNNNNNNNNNNNNNNNNNNNNNNNNNNNNNNNNNNNNNNNNNNNNNNNNNNNNNNNNNNNNNNNNNNNNNNNNNNNNNNNNNNNNNNNNNNNNNNNNNNNNNNNNNNNNNNNNNNNNNNNNNNNNNNNNNNNNNNNNNNNNNNNNNNNNNNNNNNNNNNNNNNNNNNNNNNNNNNNNNNNNNNNNNNNNNNNNNNNNNNNNNNNNNNNNNNNNNNNNNNNNNNNNNNNNNNNNNNNNNNNNNNNNNNNNNNNNNNNNNNNNNNNNNNNNNNNNNNNNNNNNNNNNNNNNNNNNNNNNNNNNNNNNNNNNNNNNNNNNNNNNNNNNNNNNNNNNNNNNNNNNNNNNNNNNNNNNNNNNNNNNNNNNNNNNNNNNNNNNNNNNNNNNNNNNNNNNNNNNNNNNNNNNNNNNNNNNNNNNNNNNNNNNNNNNNNNNNNNNNNNNNNNNNNNNNNNNNNNNNNNNNNNNNNNNNNNNNNNNNNNNNNNNNNNNNNNNNNNNNNNNNNNNNNNNNNNNNNNNNNNNNNNNNNNNNNNNNNNNNNNNNNNNNNNNNNNNNNNNNNNNNNNNNNNNNNNNNNNNNNNNNNNNNNNNNNNNNNNNNNNNNNNNNNNNNNNNNNNNNNNNNNNNNNNNNNNNNNNNNNNNNNNNNNNNNNNNNNNNNNNNNNNNNNNNNNNNNNNNNNNNNNNNNNNNNNNNNNNNNNNNNNNNNNNNNNNNNNNNNNNNNNNNNNNNNNNNNNNNNNNNNNNNNNNNNNNNNNNNNNNNNNNNNNNNNNNNNNNNNNNNNNNNNNNNNNNNNNNNNNNNNNNNNNNNNNNNNNNNNNNNNNNNNNNNNNNNNNNNNNNNNNNNNNNNNNNNGGGCUCUGACUACCGUGCGUAGAGGCACGUGGAGGAGCAUCUGCCAGUGACUUCUUCAGGUAGUUUUUAGGCGACGAGGUGAACCCUAUGGUAUUGUCAGAUUUGAGUUUCGAGCAAUAGUGUGAAGUUGGACGAUUUUGUCCUUGGACGUUCAAGUGUCGUUUUGUGUUGUCGUUGUUGCUAGAAGCUUUGAGGCGGAUAAUAGUAGUCCUAAAACAGUGAAUUCACAUCUCUCGAUAUUUACGGACCUUCAGACGUGGUUCGUUUGGUAUCGUGUUCUUUACCUUUUAUUAUUGCAGUUAAAAUUAUCGUGUUGGGUAAUAAUUUACUUUUCACAUUAGAAGUCAUAUGUGGGGUUGAUAUUAGGAUUGGGGUUAUCGUGAAAGGAUAACCAUUGCCUGUUGUUAGAUUUAGAAAUUAUUUGUUAAUUAUUUGCCUUAAAUUAUUUAUGAAUUUGUUGCCAAUCUUUUCUACACUGUUGGAAUUGCAUUUGACCUUAGAAAAGUUUAUUCAACUAUUCUGUGUGAAUCAUGUCUGUACUUUUCUUGUGGUCAUUAUUUGGUGUUUAUGGCAAAUGUAAGUCUAUGGCAAGUGUGAAAGUAAAAUGUGUUUUAAUUGUAGUAAGCUUGGACAUGGUGAAAUAGAUGGUCCUAUGAAUGAUAAUAAAAGGAAAGAUAAGGAGGGAGAAAGGGUGAAUGUUGCCACUAGUCGAGUUAUGACCCCAGUGAGGUUUAUUGAGAGUAAACCUGUCACUGCAUAUGCAUCUGUGUGUGAUUAUUUUCGCAUGUGUGUGAUUGUCUAAUUGUUGCAUGAUUAUAUGUUGCAUUUCAAUUUGUUUGACAUGUGUGUUUGCAAGAAUUUGAGGUAAUGUGAUUACUUGUUGUGAUCGUUUGCAUGCAUAGAGGGUUAGGAUGCAUUAGUAGUGUUAUGUGUCUUUUGGUAAGGUGGAGUAUAGAUGCCUAGGGGUACAUGGUUGUUUGUACCGGGGAUGUGGAGUGUGACAUUUGGAUCACGAGUGGAGAUGUAAUCAAAUGUCUAGGAUCAUUUAUUUGUAAAGAGACCCUGAUCAAGUGGAGUGUAAGAGAGACACUUCUAUCACUUCUGUUAGGUGGAGACCCAGUAUCCACGUAGGUUGGGAGAAGUGAUGUGGAGAUAGAGGAUUAUUCCGUAGACCUAGGAUCUACUGUGACUUACCAGUUAGACAUGAGUUGGAUGAUCAGUCUAGUGAACAUGUUGGGCAAUGAGAGAAGAUAUGUGUUCUCGAGGUGUGAGCAAUGCGGAAUGAGAUAGGAUAAGUGUGGUGAUAUCAUUUUGUAGGGUCAUUUAUGCAUAUGUUGUUGACCGUGGUUUUAUUGACUUGGUGUUAAUCUAUGGUUCUAUGUGAACAUGUUUUUGAAAAGAUCUAUGUAUGUUAUCCUAUAGUAUAUCAUCAUCGCACGUGUAUUUGCUCUUGAUUGUUUACUGUUAAAUAUUUGCUUCUACUUGGGUGUUUUUUGGACCUUAGCCCCGAUGAGUACAUGGAGCAGGUAUGGUAUGUGUUUCAGGUUGGAAACACGAGUUAAGGUCUGUGAUCCAAUUUUAUUGGCUACCUUGAUUAUGCAAGUGCUAAUUGUGUGUUUUGAUUGCUUGCAGAUUUAUUGUGUAUCAAGGUGGAGAUUUGUUGGAUUUUUGAUAUCCAAUAAAUCCCGGGCUAUGAUAUUAACGUGGGUUAAUAUUAUUUUAUAGGUAUAGGUCGAUGAAUGAAAUAAGUCCAACGACUAAGUUCAUGAGCUAUACCCGGCCCAAUUAUAUUUUCUCUUGGAUGACUUGAAUAUUGGUCCGUUUACCUCUUUAAGGUCCAACUUAAAGCCUAUCUCUAGAGUAUAUAUAUGGAUAUAACCCUAGUCAUUUUCUUAUGAUGUUUUGUGUGGUUUGUGAGAAGAAAAAGGAAAUCAUGGCUGCCCUCUUUGUGUGUGAAAAAAGGCACAUAAAAGUGUCCAAAACGCUUGUUUAACAUGUGCAAUUGGUGGUUCAUUCAUAGUAUACCUUUAUGGUGUCUUCUCUUAGCCUUUGUGAUUACAAAUCAUCUUUUCUUGUCCUACGUGGAUAAGAUUGAAUAGUAACCGAGGUGAAUUAAUUAGUUGUGGUUUGGAGCCGAUUUGAUUGGUUGUUGGUUGAGAAAGGUACGUUGGAUUGAACCCGAAAAUUAUCGAUUUGAAGAUCUUUCAAGAGAGCUUUCACAACAGUUACAUUAACAUUGCAUAUAAAUAAGACAUGCAAGGCAUUUCAUGUACAACAUGGAAAAUAUAGCCAUGGGGAAAUAUGUUUUAUUUAAUUGUCAUGAAAUGCUCCGUUUUUUUUUUUUUUUUUGGCAUAAGCCGUCUUAGAAAAUGAAUUGAUAGAUAAGGUUCUUGAUUUUAGAUGAUUUUGACUUAAUUUCACCUAUGAUAUUCUCGAAUUCGCUCUCCGCAUUUUUACCCUUGGUCUUUCCUCUCUCCCAAAAAUUGAUCAUAGUUUGUAAUGAAAAUCUAUUCAUCAUUUUUUAUUCGUUCUGUAUGCCAAAAAGAAUAUCAUUAGACAAUAUAUAAAAAAGUAAAUUCAUCAUUUUUGAUAUGUUUUGUAUGCCAAAAAGAAUAUUAUUAGUUAAUAUUUUAAAAAAAUAAAAAAUAAAAUAUAGUUCAUUUUUCGACGUUCAAAUAUUAAUAUUAUGUACUGGACAUGCAACGAGGACACAUUUAUAAUUAAGAUAAUAGUUAAUAUGCUUGUAUACAUAUUAAUACAUAACGGUGAGAAGCGCGAUAACUAUAAAAUAAUCUGAAAAUUUCUUAGAAAAAUCAAAAGAUAUAGAAGAGAUAUAGACUCGGAGAGGAUACUUGUUAGAAAAAAAUAGUCCUUCUUUGAUUUUUAUUUAUAUAAACUCAACAUCGUUUAAUGUCUAAUUGACGAACAUUUUGCUCGUAGUUGCCUAACAAAUCCCAAACAAAUUACCACGUUAGUUCAGUUCUACUCGAGCAAUUAUCUGAUUGUUUAUCUUCAUCAAAUUAAGAAGGUUCACAUGUUAUAUUGAGACUUAUGGCUCCGUUUGAUUCCCAUUUUUCUCAAAAUGCAUUUUUUUCUCUUUUCUUUUCAAUCAUACAUUCCUCAUUAAAAUAAUAUUACAUGUAAAUAAAAAACUUUUUAUUCACAUAUUCUCCAUCAAUCUACUAUUCUAAAAUUCAUUUAUUUAAAAAUGGGUAUCAAACACCCUCAUAAUUUUUUCACUUAUCAUGAGCCAUUGCUUAGUGUGACAUGAUAAAGUCAAGAUUCUGUUUGCGUGGAACUUGCAAGUGUAUGUGAUCAUUGACAAGUAAUAAUAAAAUAAAUUAUGAGUUAUUGUUCCACAAGGAAUAAUGUUUAAUUUCAGUUCACUAGUUAUUACUAAAUUUGAUGUUCGUGACACAAAAUGCGUGAUUUUGUUAUUAUUCAAACUAAGGAAGCAAUAAAAAAUAUUUUGUCAUAUGUGAAUGAUUGUAUUGGAUUUUGAAUCCCUUAUUAUCAUUUAUUUUAAUUCUUGAUUUGUAAUAUAAUCAAUUUUAUGCUUUCGUGACAAUCGAUAAUAUUAGUUUAUUUAAUUCUCUUUUCCAAAACGAAUUAAGUCUAUUCUAAUUAUGAUCCGAUCCUAUUUCUAGACUGAAAUCAUAUGACCAAAAUACAUUAAAUUAUAGGUUAUUUAUGUGAUUGCAUAUGUGAUAAAGAUUAUUCUUAAUCUAUCUACAUGUGUUAAUUUUGCCACGUUCUAAACUUAUUGUGAGUCUCCCAACACUAUACCAAAUAACUAAUUAUUCAAUUAGUAGUCAAUCAAUUAAAUAAUACAAUGGGUAAGCAAAAUCAAUCAAGAAAAUCAAGAAAUAACUAAAUUAAUAAUUUUAAAUCAAAACAAAUAUGUAAUAGGUUUCAUCAUUCAUCCAUACAAUAGAAAAACUAGCAUUGCAUUCUAAUGAUUCAAUUAUACAAGAAAUUUGGAAAAACAUCACUCGAAAAGAAGAAAUAAUAAAAAAAAGUGGAGAAAUCCAAUUUCUUGGCUUGAAUCUUGAAAAUGGAUGAAUAUUCUUCAAUAAACUUGUAUAAUCUGCCUUAAUAUUGAUGCUUAACAUUGUUCUUCGCGAUCCAAAAUACAUAGAAUAUAGAGAUUUGUUACGUUGAAAGGAGGUUUUCCACGUUCUAGACAUGUUUAGGUAAACAUAAGAUAUUGUUUCCAUUUAAAAUUUUAUCGAAAUAUGAAAAUUGGCCCUCACAUAAAAUUUGGCCCCCUGCACGCCAUUUAGUUCAUUGCGCACACACCGUUCAAUGAUUUUGCUCUUGGUGAAUGCAUAUCAUGGACUCGCACACGAAAAAAUGUCUGUGCACGGGCGUCGUUUCACGAUGUCGUCAUUGGAUAGCUUUCGGUAAUUUGAGAUAACUUUCUCUUUUGAACUCCAAUUGAGGUAAUUUCAAGUGCGUUGGAAAGCUAACUCAAAAAGUUACAAUUUUUCGGAAUAAAAAAUUUUCGAUUCGAACAUUUGCUAUCCAAAAAAUGGGUCUCAAAUUGAGGUUAAAAGUUCGGAGUAUAACUUCUUUUGCUAACAAUUGAUUUGUGCAAAUACUUAGACUCUAUUUAACUACUUUGACCUCCACUUGCACCCAAUUGAUGUCAUAUGAUCUUCAACCAUCAUUUUGUGGUCCGAAUCAACUAUUGAAUAUUUGCAUUUUGGCCCUCAAACUUUGAAAUUUCUUCGUUUCACAUGUUUUUAGUAUCUUUCUUCCAAGUCUACCAAUUGACAUUGAGUUCAACCUAUCUUGCACGUUCACAAAAUCGACGAUUCCCAAACAAAUUAUCAUAUUAGUUCAGUUCUACAAGAGCAAUUAUCAAGCUACAUAUCUUCAUCAAAUUAAGAAGGUUCACAUGUUGCCCCCAGGGCACAUCUCCAAGUGGUAAAAGGGGAGGGUGGAGAAAUCCAACUUUGCUUGAGGCUGCUGCGUCAAGGGUUCGAAUCCUGAAAUAUGGAUUGGGCUCUUGAGUAAGUGCAAGUGUACAAGCAGCCUUCCACCCUAUACCCUUGGAGGCAUAACCUGCGGUUUACCUCCCUCACGAUACUUCAGAGCAGGGACGGUGGUGAACGUUUAAGGUUGGGGUUCAACCUUUUUUUAAGAAGGUUCGCAUGUUAUAUUGGGGCCUAACUUUUUUGACUUGUACUCUUGAGAGAGAGAGAGAGAGAGAGAGAGAGAGAGAGAGAACCGGGGGCGGGGGCCGGGGGUUGCGGUAAUGAGAAUUAUGAGGAGUGGAAGGACCCCGCAGGAAGGCACGGGAGAUUCAGAAGUGCUCUGAAAAGCUGAAAUUUAGUGACUUCUUUUCCUUUUUAAAAUGCCAUUUGGCUCAUAAUUAGACCCUACCCACUUUUUUCUUCCACAAAAGGACAACGGUAAACGUGCUUUAGGUAAUCAUAUUUUCUAUUUCUAUUUUCCUCAAUUAUUAAAUGCGACUUUGGCAAUCCAAUUUUAAUUAUUUAUCAACUAUGUAUACUAGAUUACGAUUCAUUAAUUAUGAAUUCAAAUUGGAAUAUUUAGAUUCAUGAUUGGAAAGUUAUGACAACUUUAAUUACGAGUAAAACAACUAAGUACAUGCUUUUUAUCAUGUUCAAACGCGUUUUUUGAGAAUUGUAAAAUGCAAAGUUUUUAUUUAUUUUUAUGAAGUACAAAAAAUGUUGAUUAUUUUUAUUUUAGAACUUUCGUUCUGAGACAAAAAAUUUCUUUUAGAUUUUUUAUGAAGCAAAUGAAUUUAAUUAAUAAUUUUCAUUUAAAUAAGUUCUAAACAAUUUAAUGUCUUAGGAUUUAUUUUCUUUUAAUGCAAAUUUCAUACUCACAAUCAAAUACGCACUUAGUUAUUAAUUUUCAUACAAAUAAGUACUACGCAAUUGAGUUGCCUAUAAUUUAUUUUCUUUUUAUGCAAAUUUCAUGCUCUCAAUCAAACAUACCCUUGGCGUCUUGAAAACCACUUUGUUUGUGUUGACAAUACUUGAAAUGUUUUGAAGAGCACUUCGUGAAAAAGUUAUAUGGCGGAGUGAAGAGUUUCUUGUUCUAAUUUAAGUAAAGUAUAUUAAUUUUGAUUAACCAUUUUGACUCAAUCUAAUCGACCUCCAUCGAGAAAUUUAGACCAGAUUUUAGUAAAUUUUGAUAAGUAUAGAUGAAAUUUAUAGUUGAAAACUCGUGAAUUCCAUAAAAUUAAUUAUUGAUUUUGAUUUGAAAUUUUAAUUUAGACCAAACAGGGACUUAAUAAGAUUUUAACAUGUCUAAUAAUUUAAAUUUUUAGGUAAAGUAAAAUCAACAUGAUCAAUAUACCAAAAAUUCGUCAAGUCGAAGUUGAUAACAAGUAGGCUUGAGCGCGGUUUGGUUUAGAUCGAUUUCGACUCCAACCCGAAACCAAAAUCAAAUUAAUCGAUUUUGGUGAAUUUCAAUCCAAAACAAUCCAUUCUAACUCUUAAAUCAAACCGAUCCAAACCAAAUCGAUUUGGUUUAGUAUGGUUUGGACUUUUAAUCAAAAUUGAAUUUUAAAAAAAAUGUCCGAGUUUUGGACCCACUCAAAUUACCAAAACUAAAAUAAUCAAAUAACUUUAUAUUACAAGAGCUAUUGACUAACAAAGAAAAUCAGGUUAACAAAGAUGGAUCAACUAAAAACUUAAGAAUUUUGUUGCUUUUUUUUUUUUUUAUAUUAUGUAGAAUGACUGUUUAAGUAGGAAAAAAAGUUUAGUAUAAUAUAAUGAGCUUGUGAAAUGAAAUUUUUAGUGUUAUUGCCUAAAGGCAAUAUUAUCAAUUGGAGAAAAUCGAAAUAUAGUUGUGAGAUUAGGACUUAUGUUUUGAAUUUUAUUUUUCUUAAAAAAAUGGAGACGUGUUAAUGGGUUGAGUUGGUUUGAUUAAUUAGUGGUUUGAGAUUUUAAAUUAUGAUUGAAUCGACCCACCAUAAUUUUGUUUAAAAGAAAAUCAAAACAAAUCAAUUGUCUGUGUCAAAUCGACCCGAGUUGAUUCGAUUGGUGUGAUUGAUAUUUUGAUUUUUUUGUCUAGGCCUAAUAUCAAGAGUUCAAAGUCUAAUUAGUUAAGAUAUAGCCCCCGUUUGGCCCCCAUUCUUAGCUAAUUUUAAUGGAUGAAAUAAUAUUUUUUUUGAAAAAUGUGUGGUUGAAAAAGAAUAAAUUUUUUUUUUAUUUGUGUGUAAUAUUAUUUUAUAAAAAAUGUGUGGUUAAAAAUAAGAGAGAGAAAAAGAAUGAGAUGGCGGCAUAAACAUCAAUGAAUAGUAAAAUAAUUAAAAGAGAAAUGAAAUAAAAAUAAUAAUUAUUUAUCAAUCAAUGACAAAGAUGUAAUCUUAUCUUAAUUGAUUCCCUAAUCCCCACCAUUACCCAUUAUAAAAAUCCCGCAUCCUUCCUCCACCGUUACCUCUUAACCAGACCACCAACCAGUUGAUACAUACAGCCCAUGUAUCUCUCUCUCCCUGCAAAAACUGCACAAAGCCAAAAGUUAUUUGGGCUAUUUUUUUAUUUUAUUUUAUUUUUCUUUCCCGCCUUAUCAAGGCAAAUUCUUGAAGAAAUGCUUGAAACUGUGAAAUACUUGAUUGGUGCCGCCGGCCCAAGUGGUUCCGGCUCCAAGUCAACCGCUGAGCAAGUCACCAGCCACAGCCUCCAUUACUGCAAUUAUUGUUGAAAAAUUACAUCGAUAAUUGUGCAUAUUAUAUUCACAAUAAACAUAUCGUUUAUUUGCAUGAAAUCGAAGUGUAUUCCAACUUACUGAAAUUGGAUUUAAAAAGAUAAAAUAAGAAUUUAUCGAAUCCGAAUACCUGAAUAUGGAUUCUUCCCUUUCAACUCAUGAUCGAAAGCAAGUAAUUUUUUAGAUCAAACCUUGCAGGAUAAACAUAUAAAUAACGUUAAUCAUUUUUUAAAAUCAAAUCAUAAUAAAAGGAAUCGGAAAAUGAAGAAAGAAUAUGCAAAUGACGGAUUUUUGACCGAGGCAAGUGUUGGACACUUUGUCCUUGAGAUGAAUUUGUCCCGGCUAACGAUUAUCCGACAAUCAUCUCCCAAGAUACAAUGACUACAUCGAGUCAUAGGAGCACUCCAAAUGAUUUCGACCAGCGAACUUGAACGGAAUUCCCUCCCUACCAUGACCAUGAUUUUGAUGCAAAAUGUUUUAUGCAAAACCAAAUUGUAAAUUAAAAUGGAAUGAUACGAUAUCUAUGACUUUUCUUGAAUUUUUUGAUUGAUAAAAUUCAAACAUAUGGGGUCUAUAUUUAGUAGUUGGAAAGGUAUGUCAAAAGACAUAAUUAUACCAAGAGUCACAUCUCUUUAAAUUUAUUUCUAUACAUGAAGAGAGACAAUUAUUGGAAAUUAAUCAUACCCAUACUAAGAGUCAUGAUCUUUCACAUGAAAAGACACACUUUUCAUCACAUAUUUCUAGAAUAUUCCACAACAUUUUAUACAAUUUUUCAAUAAUUUCAAGUAUUAAACGACUUUAUAUUUGACUUAAUUCUCAUUCAACAAAUUAAGAAUUUCACUUAAAUAAUUAUGUAAACCAAUUUUACAUCAAAAUUCCAACAAUUAUUACAGGUAAAACAAAUUGGUUAUUAUUUUUGUAUUUAAGGAGCGUGAAAAAAAAAAGAUGAAAUAAAAAACUACUUAAGUAAUUUUUGUGAUACAGGAGCCACAUCUGGGAUCGGUGCUGAGACAGCUAGGGUUCUUGCUAAGAGAGGAGCGCGGCUUGUGUUGCCGGCUCGGAACAUGAAAGCCGCGGAGGAUACUAAGGCAAACGGUUAUAGGAAUUUUUUCUCAAUUGACGGCCUUUGUCUUUCUAAUAGGGUGUUCAGUGUGAAUGUGAUGUUUACGUGGAGGGGACGACGUCAAUAUUCUGUUGGCGCACUUUUUUGGAUCAGCAGAAAUUAUAAUUUUUAAACUAUACCAAAUAUGCACUAAGGUGAACCAAAAUGGGAUGACACCAUACGAAAAUUUAGAAACAUUGUGCAUAUAGUGUAGUCAUAUCAUAGUACCCUCCCACUAUACUGACUGGGGUUUGAUUUCCUCGAUGGACAAUACAUUCUCAAAUAUUUUACUUUCUUAUAUCAUACACUUUACAUCCUUACAAAAUUUUCAUAUAUUCUUUUCCCUCACAUUAUAAUUUUCAAAUAUUUCUAUAUGUCCCUUUUUACCUUUGAUAUAUCAAUAAAUUUUUUAUUUUUCAUUUCUUCAAUAGUUGGCCAACAUAUGAAGUGUAGGGAUAAUAAAAUUCUCUGUUAUCGACCCACCCCAAAAUCAUCCUAUCCCAAAUUGAGCUAGGAAACUCCUUAAUAGUAAACGAGGUGGGUAUAGAGAAACAUAGUCUCUGUCUCGAAUGUUUUGAACUCGUCUUGAAUUAUUUUUUUAUUGUAAUUAUAAUAUUUUCAAUUAAAAUUGUACUAAAAAAAUAUACUAAAAUUAAUUAAUUAAUCUUAGAGUAGUUUAUAUAUAUAUAUAUAUAUAGAUGUGUUUAAUAUAUAAAAGGUUAAUUGUUCGAGGUACUCACUGUCACAAGUUUUUGAAGUCGAGCAUUCUUUUAUUCUAUUAUAGAUAUAAAAAUAAUGAUCAAAUUCAAUCAUCAAUUAUUCCUAUAAGAACUCAGUUUUAUUAUCAAUUCUGAGCCCCUAUUCAACAACCAUACUUUUAAAACUCUUUUUUUCACAUACUUAUUUUUAACCACACAUUUAUACAAUAUAAAAUAUUCUGCACGUCAAUUCAAAUUUUUUUUAUAUUUUUUAACCAUAUAUUCUCUUAAAAAACACUAUAAAAAACAUUUUUUUUGGGAAAUAAUGAUCACCAAAGAGGGCUGAAUACAGAAGAUGGAGUUAUGUGAUUUUCAAAUAGUUCUCGUGUCUUCGUGCCAAAAAUAAUUAUUCAUUAUAUUUGCACUUUCGUGAAGUUUGGAAAACAAAUUUCGAAUAAUCUUAUAUUGAAUAUUAAUUUUAUUAAACAUGUUUUAUGUUUGUUGAAAAUAAAAAAUACGUACAAAUCUAGUAUUUCUUUCGCGACUUAAGUUUUUAAAUUAAAAAUGAUUUUAUCUCAUUCCUAAUUAUUAAAGUUCUAUGUAACAAGAUUCGUUAAAUAUAUUAAUUGUUUAUCGCUCUGAUUAGCCUUAUUAACAAAGGGUUCGUCGAUUGACAAUAGAGCUUGUAUGGAGGUAUAGGAACAUUGAGCUUGUCCAGGCUUUUCCUUAUGUUUUAUAUUGCCGUUUAUUUUUUAAAAUUAUAUGUGUUAUUUCCAUUCAUUUAUUUUCUAAAUGACAUCUAUGUAACGACACUAAAGGAUGACAAAAUUAUUUGUAGCAUUCUUUUCUAAGUUUACUUGUGUAGCACCUCUUAGGUUGCUUUUAAACGUCAAAUUUUAAUGUUAUUUUAAAAUUGAUUUGUUACAUCUGGGGUGCUAAUUAGCAGCAGGGUCAUGAUCCGAAUUCANNNNNNNNNNNNNNNNNNNNNNNNNNNNNNNNNNNNNNNNNNNNNNNNNNNNNNNNNNNNNNNNNNNNNNNNNNNNNNNNNNNNNNNNNNNNNNNNNNNNNNNNNNNNNUUCUAACUUAAUCAUAAAAAAUUUUCGAACACAAAAUGAAAUUACAAUAAAAAUAAAAGGUAAAAAUAUUCAAAAAGCCAUGUGAUUUUGAGAUGUGCUAUAAAUACACCAUUUUUGAAAGCUUCCUUGAUAGCCCUCUCACAUGUAGAAGUGAAGCUCGUGAUUAAAAUAAUCACGAACCCUACAUUUUGUGAAAGGGUUGAAAUGUGUACAGCACUUGUGCUGUACAUAUAUCAUUUUCCUGUGAUCUCUCUCCUGCCCUGUACAAAAAAAAUUUAGGGGGAAGGGGGAUUGGUCCCACCUCCUUCAUCGCCAAUGCUAGUCACAAUUUACAGAGGUUUAAGAUUAAAUUUACAAUUUGAAAAAGAAUAAAUAACGUGAGAAAUUAUUGGAGUUUGAUUGAAAACAAAUCGAGUUAGUGGACUGGAAUUGGAAUAUUUUUAUUUUUAUUCCCAAAAAUCGACAAAAAGGAAUGGGAAAAAUAACGGAACUUGGCUGCAGUCGUCCCUAAAGAAGAAUAGUCAAAAGAUGCGAUUUAUUGAAGUUCUAUUCGUAGAUUAACAAACUUUAAUAUUGUAGGGGUCCUUCAAAAUCAAUAUUUAAAAGUUAGCUUGACUCACCUAAUAAAGGUAGAAGCCAUUAUGUCGAAAGCCGAACAUAAUGAUUCUUUUACUUAAAACAACUUUGAAUCAAAUCCAAUAACACUAAACAAGAAUUGGAAUCACUUUACUUAGGGCAUCGAAUAUCGGAGACUCACGUCCAAUUGAAUAGAUCGUGCUUAAAGUCAGUUGUACUCAUUCUUAAAUUACUUAAUGAAGUGGCCUUUUGUUUUACUAAUAUAUAAAAGUCAUUAAUUUUUUUACCCCUAUAUAUAUCAUAAUAUUUUAGAUGGUAUAUUCAAUUGAGAUUUUUGAAUACUUUUAUUUAAGUGAUGAACUUUUGUAAACUCCGUGAACUUUUAUAGAGUUUCAUAUAAUUUAUACGACUUUUAAAAACUUUCACCUAAAAUAGAAUUUACUUGAAUAUGCACGACAAUGAGAUGUUUACACAUAGGACGUGGAGGCUUGAUCCCCAUCCUGCUCCCUCAUGUAAUAAUUUUUUUUAAAAGAAUAAAAUAUUAAGUCACCUUAAUUAGAUAAAUAAAUAAUCAAAAUAUAUAAUAUUUCAAUAUUUUCAAUAAAAUAAAUAAAUAAUUCUAAUGUUCAUAUUAUCAAUAUGUCAAACCUUUAAAAAAUAUGCAACCAAUCAAUAUAUUAAAUUUUAUUUACAAAUUAAUCCUUAUUUUUAUAUAAAAUCUUAUAGAAUUUAAUUACUAAUUGAUCUUUCCGAUGAAAAACUGGAUGAAAAAAAUGGAUAAAAAGAAUGUUAUAAGAAUAAUUUAAUUUUUUCGUAGGAAAUGAAGAGAAACAAUAAAAGAGAAGAAAAAAAAAAAAAGAACAAAUAAUAAUUUUUUAAUCUUGAAUCUCAGAUUCAUAGAAUGGUAGGGGAAAGAAAAUAUUGAAAUGACAAAAGUACGCAUUAAAAGAUUAUUUUUUUUUUGGGUGAAAAUCUUCUUGAAUCAUGGGGUGAAUAAGAAAAAAAUUUUAAUUUUUUUAAUACUUUCUGCUUAAAAGUUAUAAUACCUUAAAGAUUUUAUAAAAGUUUAAAAGUCAUUAAUAUUUAGAGAUUUGUAAAAAGUUUUAAUUGAAUACAAUGAUUUUUAAAAGUCUAUAUCGAACACACAAACAUUUUAAAGAAAAAAUGCUUCUCGUACAUAUUUUUUUAAUAGAUAGGGUUGCAGGUGCUGAACUGACAAGAUUUCAAUGGCCAGUCUAACCCUUUUUUUGUUCAAAAUGGUGUGAAAUCUUAUCAACUCGACAUCCUGUAAUACCAUAUGUUAAAACAGUCUGUACGAGUAAAUUUUCUUCGAACAAAAUAGGGUAUUUUAUGUGGAGAGAGGUUAAGAGCAUCUUCUGAAAUGUUCUUUAAUUUAAAGAGUAAAUUAUUAAAACUAUGUUUAGUUUUUUCACAAGUAUCAAAAAAAAUUUGGCAGAAUUCUUAUAGAAAAACAUUUGGCAAAUUUUCAUUGAUUUUUGACACAAUAAGUACAAAAAAUGUAUUAUGUAAGUGCUGUCAACACAGUACCUGUAUUAUUUUUGUCAAUAAUUUCCUAUACUUGUGAAUUUACUCAAUUAUGUUUCAAGAAAUUCUUUAAACAAAGAUUUUACACCAUCUUCAAUACAAAAAUAAAGUUAAAUCAGCGAAUAAAAUUUUGCUUGGUCAGUACUUGUGACCCUGUCCGUUAAAAAAAUCUUACAGUUUGCAUUUUGGGAAAAUUGCAACAGCAACUUUCCCUUUUUUUUUUUUUUUUUUUUUUUUUAUAGAUUUUACCCUAAAUUUUAUUUUGUAUUAGCAAAUGCCCUAACAUUUCAUAAAUAUACACAUGAGAUCUAUCUGGAAAGAAACCAUCCAAAAUAUCGUUAGUUAAUUAGGAAAAAUCUUUGAACUAUCUGCUACCGCGACGUUUUUAUUGAAUGUCGAUACCUUUUUGAACAGUGUUUUGGACAAUUUUAUUAUAUAUUGAUUCCUUGAUUUUUUCGGUCAUUUGACGGUGUUUUGGACAGCUUCCGUCCAGAUGGAUUUCAAGUGCAUAUUUAUGAAAGGUUAAAAACAUCUAUUGGUACAAAAUGAAGGUUAAGGUAAAAUUUGUAAAAAAUGAAAAGAUUAGGGAAUGCUGUUACAAUUUUCCUAGCAUUUUUCUGUUGUCGGAACCUUUACCAAACAAAAAGCAUUCAUUCAAACGCCAGCCUGGAUUUCAUCUUCACACGCAUAUACACACAGUUCAACCGUUGACAAUGUCAAAAAUAUUCGUUCAGUUAUGGCCGAACAUUCAUUUUUGCCGAUUAUAAUAGCAUAUUACUCCUUAUUUUGCUGUUCAUCCUUUGAAUCGGGAUCAACCAUCAUGAGUAAUAAUGUUGUAGAAGCACAUAGUUCAGUCCCGUGUAACUCGACAGACAGAGGACCAGUGGUACCCACAACCCCAUUAGUCAGUUUUCUUGAAACUCUUCAAGAAACGGCACUCCAAGCUUAUGGGCACAAAGGAUUCGACCCGAAACUUUACGUGGAUUUGUCACUGAAACAAAAUCUUUCGACUACUAUUGUAGCUUUUGAGAAGCUUCCAAGAACUGAAAAUGGUUCGGUUUCGGGUCACGAUUUAAACGGUUUUAUUGAGAAGUAUUUGAAUGGGGUUGGGAAGGAUUUGGUCUAUGCUGAACCAGUGGAUUUUGUGGCUGAGCCUAAAGGGUUCUUACCUAAAGUGAAGAAUCCUGAGGUAAGGGCUUGGGCAUUGGAGGUCCAUUCACUUUGGAAGAAUUUAAGUAGGAAAGUUUCGGGCGGGGUUAAGGAGAGACCCGAUUUUCAUACAUUGCUGCCUUUGAAGUACCCAGUUAUGAUUCCCGGGUCGCGAUUCAGGGAGGUUUAUUACUGGGAUUCUUAUUGGGUAAUAAGGUUGGUUUUCUAUCUUACGCUUUCUUGUGUUAUUUUGGUAAGUUGUUUCUUGUUCUUGUUUUGGUGAGGAAGAAUAGGUGGGAUUACGGAGCCGGGAAUUAAUGUUACGGGCGCAAAACUUUAGAAAUUUAAUGUACGAAUAAAAUUCAUAAAUAACAAAAAAAAAAUCAUAAUAUAAUAUUAUCAGUUACAGUUGUACCUGACAAUGCUUUAUAGCAUAAAAUUCAUCAAUAAUAGAAUCUAAAUCUAAAUUCAAAGAAAAUUCUCGUUCAAUGUAAAGUGUCAUACAAUCAGCAAGAAAACUAUCAUCCAUUUUGUUACGAAUUUCCGUCUUCACAUGUUUCAUUGCAGAAAAUGGUCGCUCUACGGUAGCUGUUGAAACAGGCAGUGUCAAUACUAGACGAACCAAUUUAGUCAAAUUGACGUAACUCUCCGAUCUUCUACUUGCAACCAAUUCUUGACAUAAAUUAGAAAGUGUAGAUACUUGAAAUCGAGGCUCAGAAAUCACAUCAUGCUGAUAAUGUUGCAACUCAACUUUCAAAUUAUAAAUAUCUUGCUGUGUAAAAUCUUGAGGAUAAAAUUUCUUUGCAAGCUUGCAAAUAUUAUCCAUGUUAAAUUAUUCAAAAGAAUUUUUCGGAUCCAAUGCCACACCGAGAGAAAGGAGUUCUAAUGAUGUCUCAUUAAAUCUUAUAUCUAACUCCAUCAUCAGAAAAUCAAUGGCUGCAUUGAAAAUAUCAAAGUGAUAGUGAUGUUCAACGGUAGGAUACUCACGACCACGAGAACGACCAACCAUUUCCAUGGAAAAUAAAUGUAAUCAAACACACCCAUUUUGGGAAAAUUGCAGCAGCAUCUUUCCUUUUUUUUGUAGAUUUUACCCUAAAUUUUAUUUUGUAUUAGCAAAUGCCCUAACAUUUCAUAAAUAUACACAUGAGAUCUAUCUGAAAAGAAACCAUCCAAAAUAUCGUCAGUUAAUUAGGAAAAAUCUUUGAACUAUUUGCUUCCGUGACGUUUUUAUUGAAUGUCGAUACCUUUUUGAACAGUAUUUUGGACAGUUUUAUUAUAUAUUGAUUCCUUAAUUUUUUCGAUCAUUUGACGGUGUUUUGGAUAGUUUCCGUCCAGAUGGAUUUCAAGUGCAUAUUUAUGAAAGGUUAAAAACAUCCAUUGGUAUAAAAUGAAGAUUAAGGUAAAAUUUGUAAAAAAUGAAAAGAUUAGGGAAUGCUGUUACAAUUUUCCUAGCAUUUUUCUGUUGUCGGAACCUUUACCAAACAAAAAGCAUUCAUUCAAACGCCAGCCUGGAUUUCAUCUUCACACGCAUAUACACACAGUUCAACCGUUGACAAUGUCAAAAAUAUUCGUUCAGUUAUGGCCGAACAUUCAUUUUUGCCGAUUAUAAUAGCAUAUUACUCCUUAUUUUGCUGUUCAUCCUUUGAAUCGGGAUCAACCAUCAUGAGUAAUAAUGUUGUAGAAGCACAUAGUUCAGUCCCGUGUAACUCGACAGACAGAGGACCAGUGGUACCCACAACCCCAUUAGUCAGUUUUCUUGAAACUCUUCAAGAAACGGCACUCCAAGCUUAUGGGCACAAAGGAUUCGACCCGAAACUUUACGUGGAUUUGUCACUGAAACAAAAUCUUUCGACUACUAUUGUAGCUUUUGAGAAGCUUCCAAGAACUGAAAAUGGUUCGGUUUCGGGUCACGAUUUAAACGGUUUUAUUGAGAAGUAUUUGAAUGGGGUUGGGAAGGAUUUGGUCUAUGCUGAACCAGUGGAUUUUGUGGCUGAGCCUAAAGGGUUCUUACCUAAAGUGAAGAAUCCUGAGGUAAGGGCUUGGGCAUUGGAGGUCCAUUCACUUUGGAAGAAUUUAAGUAGGAAAGUUUCGGGCGGGGUUAAGGAGAGACCCGAUUUUCAUACAUUGCUGCCUUUGAAGUACCCGGUUAUGAUUCCCGGGUCGCGAUUCAGGGAGGUUUAUUACUGGGAUUCUUAUUGGGUAAUAAGGUUGGUUUUCUAUCUUACGCUUUCUUGUGUUAUUUUGGUAAGUUGUUUCUUGUUCUUGUUUUGGCGAGGAAGAAUAGGUGGGAACAUAAGGGGGAUAGAGUAGACAUUGUGAAACCAGAUCUCUAGAAUUUAAUAUAUGUAACUAUGAAAGAAUUAAAUUUACUUAUUUUGGCUCAUUGAUGAACUUGGUGGACAGUUGUUGAUCUUCCUAAUGAACAUACGGAGUGGCGUAGCAUAAAAGCUACAUGUAGUCGACUCUAAGUUUAUUGAGAAACAGACUUAGUUUCUUCUAUUUGUUAAUGAAUAGAGUUGGUUGAUAAUGAGGUUGAAUAAGUUCUAUUGCGACGACCAUUUUUGGUUUAAAUGAACCUAAAAUGCUAAUUUAGGUUCAAAUAAACUAAAAUGUGGAAGUUUUUAUCGAGAAAUCAAAGCAUUGUUCCCCCUCCCCUCACAUAUUAUCCUCUUAUAUUGACUAAACAAAGCUUAUUCUUUUACCUGAUUGAUAUAGGAGCUAAAAGUCUCAUUUCAUCACAAUCCUACAUGAGUCGGAAAGGACCAUUUAAGUCGAAUCUUGAUGCGUCAAAUUUGGUCAACUAAAAAUUGAAAUCACAAGACCAUAUAUGUGAGAAUAGUUCGACCAAUUAGUAAAAUUCCUAUUGUAUGUUACAUCUGAUUUACUUUAUUCUUUUUUAGUUCUCGUUUUUCUCUAUUUCCUCUGUCGAAUUCGAUUUAAGGAUGAUAAUUUUUUUAUGCAGGGGCUUGUUAGCAAGUAAAAUGUAUGAAACUGCAAAAGGGAUUGUAUAUAAUCUUUUAUCUCUUAUAGAUGAAUUUGGCUAUGUUCUCAAUGGUGCAAGGGCAUAUUACACAAACAGGAGGUGAAUGCUUUUUGAUAUUUCUAAGUUAAAUCUCUAGCUAUUAAUGUGUGCCUUACCUAUAAGCUAGUCUAGUUUAUAACCUUAGAUGCAUAUUUAAGCUGCCCAGAAGAGUGAAAAGUGAAGAAAAGUAUGUUGAAAAUCUCUUUCACUGUAUUGUUGUACAUAACAGCAUAACCUUAUGUGUUAUUGAGCUUCUAAUUCUUCUGUUUUUCUUGUUCCAGUUAACUUACCUCUUCUCUUUAUACAAGCUGAGCAAUCAGUAAAAUGCAUGAUGUACUCUUAGUAUGACAUGCUAAACAAGCGAACAAAUCGCUCAUUGAACUCGUUCUUUCAAAUGUCAGUAUCGACACUAUGUCUACAAUGAUAAAAUUCGUAACUGCCAUCCAUCAAAUGCUGAGCCGCAAAAUUCUUCACGCUAGCUGGACCAUGGUUGUCCGUCUCCGGUUUUGCCGACUGCUGAGAUCUCUAAGAUUGGCCAGCCAACUGGGUUGGUUUGGAUAUUGUUUUCUAUUGAAAAGGAAUCAAUUGUCUGUGCGAGUCACCUUCUUCUAGAGUCCGCUGGAUGACGCGGCAUUUUCAUCCAAUAUGACCACUUAGGUCUACGUUGCCACGAUAUUGUUCCAUGGAAGCGGGUGGUUGGCCUGAUUUUUUUGGUGUCGUAGGGAGGGAUUGAUAAAGCAUAUUUAGUCGUACCUUCAAUUGUGAAAAGAUGAAAUCUUUGAUUCAUUGAAAUCACAAAUUAACAAUGAUUACUUAUAAUUGCUUAAAUCUUUUUUUCUUUCAUUAGUAGAAUCUGACUUGUCAAGAGUUAACUAUUAUCUUCCGUUAUGCUUUCAUUUACCUGAAUCCUUUGAAGUUGAACUCAAAGUUUUAAGUGAAAAUUUCAGCCAGCCACCUCUCCUGAGUUCAAUGGUUUUAGAUAUAUACGAUCGAACAGGCGAUAAGGACUUGAUUGAAAAAGCUCUUCCUGCAUUGCUAAAGGAGCAUGAUUUUUGGAAUUCAGGUUUUGAUAAAUCAUGCCUUUGCUUUUUGUUCCCCCUCCCCCCCCGGGAAAAAAAAAAUAUAUAUAUAUAUUUUGACUUUUAGUGCAUGUUUAGUAUGUAAAACUGGACAGGAUUAUAGAUUCUUUUUCUACUUUAAUACCAACUAUCCAAUACUUACCAAACGUGACAGUGAUUUAUCAACCUCUCGCAAUCCUCUUCUACACUUUUGAAUUUUUAAUUUAUGGGCACCCCUUUUAUCCAGGCUCUUAUUUACUCACUCAACAUAUGCGAGCACAUGAAUGUGUGGGGUCAAAUAAAGUAUUUAUCCAUUUUGGUCUUUAUUUUUAUUGUUGAAGGGAUACAUAAGGUGAUUGUUCGGGAUGCUAAAGGUUCACUACAUACUUUAAAUCGAUACUAUGCAAUGUGGAACAAACCAAGGCCAGAGUCAUCAACUAUUGUAAGAGUCAUUUUACUAAUCUUGCUAAGUAAUUGUUGCGGAAUGAUAUUUUUCUGGAUUACGAAUUUGUUUGUUAUUAUCUUAAAGCAAUUACUAACCUUGCAGGACAGUGAAAUAGCUUCCAAAUUAUCAAAUACCUGUGAGAAAAGGAAGCUCUAUCGUGAAUUGGCAUCAACGGCCGAAUCCGGAUGGGAUUUCAGUACUAGAUGGAUGAGGUAGCAUGAGUUUCCUUACUAUCAUAUAAUAAUCAAUAGUUUGUCUAUUUCUGGAGUGCCCAACGUACAAAGCAGGGCCGAUCCUUGACCUGGCAGUUAUUGGGCUGAGCUGUACAGCCUAUGUGGCUCGGCUCAUUUUGACUCCACUAUAGAGGUGGUUUUCUUCUUGGCCAGCUGCCAAGUCAAGGUGUCAUCUAUUCAAUAUUUGGUGGUUUGCAUAUGUUUCAGG
rnacentral:lncRNA from 1 species